rfam:Lodderomyces elongisporus NRRL YB-4239 supercont1.1 genomic scaffold, whole genome shotgun sequence.
GGGCGGAUGGUUUAGUGGUAUAAUACUUCUUUAGGGUAGGAGUGGUCCCGGGUUCGAUUCCCGGUUCGCCCC